rnacentral:rRNA from 1 species
GUAGGGAAUCUUCCACAAUGGACGCAAGUCUGAUGGAGCAACGCCGCGUGAGUGAAGAAGGUCUUCGGAUCGUAAAGCUCUGUUGUUGGUGAAGAAGGAUAGAGGCAGUAACUGGUCUUUAUUUGACGGUAAUCAACCAGAAAGUCACGGCUAACUACGUGCCAGCAGCCGCGGUAAUACGUAGGUGGCAAGCGUUGUCCGGAUUUAUUGGGCGUAAAGCGAGCGCAGGCGGAAUGAUAAGUCUGAUGUGAAAGCCCACGGCUCAACCGUGGAACUGCAUCGGAAACUGUCAUUCUUGAGUGCAGAAGAGGAGAGUGGAACUCCAUGUGUAGCGGUGGAAUGCGUAGAUAUAUGGAAGAACACCAGUGGCGAAGGCGGCUUGCUGGACAGUAACUGACGUUGAGGCUCGAAAGCGUGGGGAGCAAACAGGAUUAGAUACCCGGGUAGUCC